CCGAGCUGUGUGCCCGGGCUGAGCCCCCACCGCGCUCCUGCACGACCCUGCUGAGCCCCGCGCUGCCAGCCCGGCCUGCCGUGGCUCGGCCCUGCCAUGGCUGGCAUCCGGCAAGGCCACUGUGACCCCGGGAGCUGCAGUGUGGCACUGCGUGUAUUUGACAAGCUGAGUCCGACACUCAGUGUGCAGAGUGUCAGUUUGUCAAAUACCCCAAGUGAGGCACUGCCGAGCAACGCGAUGCCGAGGGUGCAGCCCUUUCCUCCUGCUCUGGCAGGAGCCUUCUUCUCCAGGCUCGGCAUUUCUUCAGAAACCCAUCGAGGUACUGAGCAGCCCAUCCCAUUGUUCCAGAACACCUGAAGGAUCCUGUGCUGCCAGGUUUCCCUUCCACCCCGGUUUUGGAAGUAUCUGUUGGGGUAUCCCUCCCAACAGUAAAUGAGAGCAGAAGUGGUGCUGGUGCAACUUCUCUGCACUGUGAAGAUAGGGAAUUGUGCCCUAGGUCCUUGUUAUUUGCAUCCAAAUACCAUGCUGUUUUCUUGCACAGCAUUAAGUAGCCAGCUGUAAAUUAAGCUCAGCUAACAAGGAUCCUGGCAACUAUAAUUACAACAUCAUGGCUAAAGGCAGCAUUAUCCAUAAUAAAGAAUCUUGCCUUUGCACAUGGAGUAAUCAUUUUAUAUGGAGUACAAGCUAAUGAGGCUGCUCAUUAACUUCCCUCUGGCCCAUUAGCCUGUGAAAAAUGCAUGUUGGUUCAAGCUGUUUUAAAUUAGGCCAUGGAGUCCACUGCCCCUCCUGGGAGCCUUGCUAUUUGGAGAAGACUUCUUGUUUUUGCAUGGUUAGGGCAGUCAGCACUUGCAGCAAGGUUGCCUAUUCUGCUAUUUAAUUAAAGUAAUUCCCUCUAAUCAUCCCACUUGAAGAUGUAAUGAUUGCUAAGUGUUUUCAGUAACUGACUUGUAGCAUUUCAGAUAUGUCAGCAUAGGGGAAUGACAGGGGCAGCAUCCAGCCCAGUUUUACAAAUCAAACUCUGAAAGCAUUUGACAUGGAAAACUCAAGAAUAAAAAAAAAAUCUCCAGACUCUACUGACUAGUUUUAGGACAGUACCACCAGAAAAUUUUGCAAUAUUUGAGAGUAUUAAUAAACUUGAAUACUAA